rnacentral:ncRNA from 2 species
CGUCCGGACGUGUCGUCGGGUCCGGCUAGGCUGAACGCACCGCGAGCAGCAGAAGCCGGUGAAAGUCCGGCGCGGUCGCGCCACUGUGACGGUGGACCGGAACCGGUUCAUCCAAGUCAGACCUGCAGCCCGGUACCCGCUCCGACC